rfam:Hordeum vulgare subsp. vulgare, WGS project CAJW01000000 data, contig: morex_contig_2547379
AUACUACUCUCUCCGUUCCAAAAUUCGUGUCUUAGAUUUGUUUAGAUAUGAAUGUAUCUAGUCAUAUUUUAGUAGUUUGAUACAUUCAUUUUUGGACAAUGCUAAGACAAAAAAUUUGAAACGGGGGAGUAUAAC